rnacentral:lncRNA from 1 species
AAGAAGAGGAAGAGGAAGAGGAAGAGGAAGAGGAAGAGGAAGAGGAAGAGGAAGAAGAAAGAGGAGGAGGAGGAGGAGGAGAGAGAGAAAGAGGAAGAGAGAGGGAGGGAGAGAAAGACAGAGACAGAGAAAGAGACAGAGGAGAAAGGGAGAGAGGAGAGAAGAGGCAGGCUGUCAAUAAGUGGAAAGAUGUGGGCAGGGAUGCCAGAGAGAGGCAGGAGGGGGUGGUCAGAGAGAGAGGCCAAACAGUCCUUUUAAGGCAAGCCAGGCUGUUGCUAGGUAACUGCUGGGCAGAACCUAGAAGAAAUGCUAACCUGUGAACACCUAGGAGAUCUAUAAAUGUACAGCAGAGCAUGUUCUCCCCAAAGAGACCAGGGUAGGUAAGAUUCAAUGCAACAAAGACACUCGGAUGAAGAGGACAAUCAUGCUUGCUGGAAAGAGGUCCCAUGAAAGUACUGAGAGCUGCACCCAGGACCCCUGUCUCACUCUGGCUGAAAUCACAGUGGAGGACCCAAAGGACUCAUGAACCAAUCUACCAAUUUCUUUUUAGCACCUCUGUCUCCUAAGAUACCUGAGAAAACAGAGCACUGAACAGUCUUUAGCUCAAGUACGCUCAUGUGUCAUGGACCAAAGGAAUCAAGGGUCUUACCUGAGCCAAAGUCUAGAGCAUUUCUGAGGUUGAGACUAGUUUGGUCUACAGAGUGAGUUCCAGGACAGCUAGGGCUACAAAGAGAAACUCUGCCUCAUAAGGAGGAGGGGAAGGAGGAGGAGGAGGAGGAAGGAAGGAAGGAAGGAAGGAAGGAAGGAAGGAAGGAAGGAAGAAAGGAAGAAAGGAAGAAAGGAAGAAAGGAAGAAAGGAAGAAAGGAAGAAGAAAGGAAGACAGACAAGACAGGUGCCAAUAACAACAAUGGUAAUCACAAAUGAAAUUCAGCCUUGUAGUUUUGUCUCCCCAGUCAUAAAACCCUUCACCAGUCUUUGUCGACAUUAAGGAUCAUUAUUCCCAUUUUGAACAGAGAGGAGUCCAUGUGGAUAUUGAUAAUUUGCUGCAAAUCACAGUGAUCACGUCCAGCCUCAUUCCUAAGGCUCCCACAUGCCCAUUCAGGAACCCCUUCUCCAGCUGGGCCUAAGCGAUGUGUCGGUCAGGCAUGGUACUGUAGCAGCAUAGAGCAGCCCAACAUGGUCUCUUGCUAGAGGAAACUGCCUCUUUAGCGUGUUCCCAGGACAGAUGGCCAUUUUCCAAUUUACCAGUUUUAUGUUCACAAUUUACUUUUUUUAUGAGCGCUUUACUCCGAAAUGAGCAAGAAUCGUGUGGUCACAUUACUUUUAUAGCCAAGAAUAUUGGAAGACUGCAACAAAACCUCCAUGGCCUCUGCCCACCUCCUCCCUGCCGAGUUUUUGGCAGCAUGCACAGAAUGCUGCAUGUCAGAAUGGAGUGUGUCAGAGCUGGGUCCGGGCUGUCUGAGCACUUCCUGCCUUUGUUUUCAACAAGCCACUUAGGUAUGGACUCUGUCCUCUGCAUGUCUUUCUGAGGCUUAAGUUCACAGUGGCUACUACCAAUGCUUCUGUGUUCAUGGUCAGGCUUCUACAGAAUAGAAAGAGUGCCAGUGUUGGCUCCACCCACUUCAGCUGACACUUCAGGAGUCAGAAUUGUAGGAAACUCAACCUGAAUCCACUUAGGAGGUUGGAGGCAGCUGAGGACUCCUGCCGGGCAAGGAUGGAGACUACUGGGAACUCUCUCAGUGCAUGAAAUAUUCAGCCAUUCUCUGACCAAUCAAUCAAUUGCAGUUCAUUUUUUCAUGUUUUU